UAUAUGUAUUUAUGUGUUACAAGAAGUCAAUAUAUAAUGUGGAACGAGAAACUAUGAAAUAUGCAAGAACCUGAUUAAAGUUGAAGGCUCCACUUUGAUGAAGGCAAUGAAGAGAGAUAAAAAACGGCAGCAAUUCAAACCACACACAAACACACAUGCAAAUAUGUUAGCAGCGGCAGGCUGAUGAUCCCGUUUCAGAGCGGUAAGUGAUGCGCGAGCCAAAAGCUGCAGCUCUGCAACCGAAAUCCAAACAGACCAGUAGAGGCAAUACAGCUCAGCCACGGCAAGCUGGGCUAAAUCAACGAGACGAAGAGAACCCAGGCGGGCUAAGGUGAGAUGGGGCAGUCAGAGUACAGCAACAACACGAAUGCACUGUUGAAGGUAACCGAAUAAAUGGGUAACAUGGCAACGUCGGACAUUUGCGGCAAAGGGCUGUUGCAUUGAGUGAGUGCAAACCAACUGGCAAGAAAGCAACAAUAUAAACGAAAAAAAAACAGCAACAACAGCGACAACAACAAAGUAUUGGCAAUAUUCGUAGCCGUUGGCAUGCAGUCGAUGCGUCUAUGCCUGCUGCAAAGUCAAGUAGAGACCGACAAGCAUUCGGCUGACUUGAAAAGGCGUGUGUAACGGCAAUAACGGUAGUAUAAAGUCGCAACAUUCCUCAUAUAAUAACAAUAGCAACAACACUGCAGUGGCAGCAACAGUUGUUGUAAGCAAUACACCAACAAAAAAAUUAAAAAAAAAAAAUCGAAAAAUUGGUAACAUGAAAUUGAGAAAGAAGAGGCUGCAAGCGCACACAAAAAGAAAAAUAUAACGGAUCUUAUGCUUACCGAGUCACUCAAUAUCUGCAUGCUCCACUACAUGUCUGCUGCCAUUAACUGUUGUGCCACUGCGCCACUGUUGCACACAUUUGUGGGGCAUGCUACACGCCACACCGCUCACCUCACCACCAACCGAGACGAAAUAAGGUUACAAAAAAGUCUUUUGAUUAUAAUUUAAGUACAUGACAUGACAACGCGGUUGACUUGUUUUCCCGAAAAGUUUCACUUUGUCGACUGCACAAACACACGCACACACAGAGUCAUUGCUGCUAACUGUUGUAUGAGUAUAUGUGUGCGCCGUGCUGUGGCGGCUAUAAAUUUUUUAUGAACUUGGUAUUUAAUGAGCAGCUCAGGUAAGGCCGCAGGACACAAACAAGAAAACAACUGUAACACACACAUACCUACUUUUGCGCCAAAUGAGCACAGCGUACACUUGCCACUUCCAGUGGCACGAAGAAAAAUUUCAAGUAAAUCAGCUUCACAAGCUGGCAAAUUGCUAGUAAAGACGCGAGUGUGGGCAACAGGCAGGCAGUUAGAGCGGAAAUAUGCAACAACGGUACAUCUUUUACUUCACUACUGCCGCACAUAUUGACUGUAGUAACAAGAGAUGCGCACAUGCCACACACAAAUCCAUUACAUAUGCACGCAAAUACAACAAAAAGGAAAAUAUGUUUUCCAAUAAACUCCGCCAACAAAGUCAAUUGUUGCUGAUGAAUGCAAUUUGUUGCUCAUAAAUAUAACCGGUAACCAUGUGGCAUAUAACCAGCUCUAUAUAAUACACACCUGCCUGGCAGCGCUGCCAUUGUGUAUAUCUGUAUGUGUGCCUGAUUGACUCCCCCUUCUCAAUGGUCGCUUGAGUCGAUGAUUGCCAUGUAAAGUGAAGUAGCACGUGUUGUUGAAAGCCCGGAAAUGAGUUGCAGCAUAAGAUCAGGCGAUGAAUCAGAGCUUUACAUUCAUUAAGAGACAAGUGCGCGGAGGCGAGUUAUGGCUCUUGCUUAGUAAACAAGUAAUAUUCGGUGAAGCUAACGAUGUCAGAAAAUGUUGUCCCCAAUCGUUGGACUACCGAAAUUGGAAAAGAUUUUAGAGUUUGAUGCAGAGAUGCAGAGAAAUGGAAACCCAAUCCAGCAACAAAAAAAAAAACUUUUUUUUAUCCGAAUUAUAGCUGGCAGUGUUUUUACCAAAAACACUAAAUAUAAAUUAAAUCAGUUUUCAUAUCUAACGACUAACAAUUUCUUUUAGUAUAUCUGCACAUGUGUCUGUAACAUAUUAAAUAUCUUAAACCAUAAUUACGCGCAUCAUAAUUUUAAUGAAAGACAAAACCGUUUAAAAAUCUCACAUUCGUGUAUCCGAGCAUUAUUGUAAUUAAUAUUAUUAUUAGUAUUUUUUUUUUCUUUGAACUUUCCAAUUUGCAAUUAAUUUAAUUGUUAAUGAAUGCAAAUAUAUGCCAUUCAUAUUGUACGACGGCACGGUAAUGAAUGCAGCUAAUUAAUUUGCUUUCAGAAGAGGGUGCGCAUGCAAGCUGAGAUAUGUAUCAAUAGAUAAUUAAAUUAAUGUUUUUCUUUAUUGUUCAUUUAACGGUGCAUAUUGCGUUGUUAUAGCGAUUAUUAAUCGUUAUUUAAAAAUCAUUUUUGAAUAUUUUAAAGUUUUUUUUCAACAAAAUUUUUAAUUCGCUGCAGUUUUUUGCGUUCUUGCAACAAUAUACU